rnacentral:rRNA from 1 species
GACGUAGGGGGCGAGCGUUAUUCGGAAUCAUUGGGCGUAAAGCGCGCGUAGGCGGCUCAUCAAGUCCGUGAAGAAAGACCUGGGCUCAACCCAGGGAACGGCACGGAAACUGUCGAGCUUGAGGUAAUCAGAGGGUGAUGGAAUUCCCGGUGUAGCGGUGAAAUGCGUAGAGAUCGGGAGGAACACCAGAGGCGAAGGCGGCGACCUGGACAGGUACUGACACUCAACUACGAAAGCGUGGGGAGCAAACAGG